UUCUUACCUUCUUUCUUUCUUUUUUAGGAACACUACUCGCACAAGAAAUCCUAAGAAUUAAUUCACUACUUAAGGUUAAUUCAUAAAUAACGAAACUGCAGUUACAGGUUUGUUUGUGCAUAGUAUUGGUAAUCAGCAGUUUUUCUCCUUAUCUCCUCAUCUAGAAGUGUUUCUGUGCUACUCCUCCAUCUAUAACACAAGUUAGUAUCAUCCUUAAAGCAUCUGAAAUUAAGCUGCAUUGCUAAAUCAAUAACGUGAUUUGUGCUAAGAAAUACUCCCCUAUCCUCUUCCUUUUUCCAGUGGCGCUGAAUGACAGAUUUUAGAUCAAUUUAACGUUUUAUCACUAUUACGUUUCAUUUAAUUAAUUUUGCUUUUUCUCUCUUAUUUUUGUCUAUUUAUUUAUUUAUGUUAUUUACUUAUUUAUCAUGCCAUCCUGUGAUGAUAAUCUUAAAGACUUUUUAGCCAAUUGUCGUCAAAAAGGCCAAUUAAAAAUAUUAUGUUAAAGAUUUCACAAGAUAAAAAUGUGAACAUAAUUUUUAUCGAAUGAGGGGUACAAUUAUUCAAUAUUUUUGUGACAUUAUUUUCUACGUUAGAACUUACAGCUGAUAGAAAAAUAUAGGAUCAGCUAGGUUUGGCUAGAUCUGUUGGGAAACUCAACGGAGCUGAAACAACACUGUUGUCUCGGAUGAGAUGUUCCAUGAAUCAUUUAGUCAGCUGGAUGCCAAAUUAUUCAUUUAAUGUUUAUUUUUAUGCAAUGAAUGGAAUGGGAUGGAACGUUACUAUAAACUAUCCGGAAAUUUGCGCAUGUUUGCUCGAAGGAGAGAACUGUUGAAGCCUAAAGCGUUCUCCUAGACUUAUAAAUAGACACCGUUUCCUUAACCAAUGAAAAUAAGUGAUGACGCUGAUGUAUUCCGUUUUGAAAAGAAAAUAAGGCUUUACUGCAUGUCCGCUGCAGCUGAGAAUCCUAGGACAAUAAAGAUUAUAUUGACGUCCAAUGGUGAGUUGGGCUGAAAUCCAGGUUACUAAUCCUAUUAUUUAUUUAUUUAUUGAUAUUAUUAUUAUCUUUUUUUUUUUUUUUUAGGCUAACUUUCUCAGUUAACUAUGUUCUACAGUAGUUUAGUAAAUUUUCCACAGUUCUGACAUUUCAUCAAUUCAACUGGUUGUUGCCAAAAAGCCUUGUUCAUUACCUGACUGCAGCAAGCACUCUUUUACUGGGUGUAACCAUAGGAAACAGUCUCUUUUGAGCCUCUCUUUGUAAGUCCAGGAUGACCACCGUCAUUGAUUAAAGUUCACAUGUUAGCACACAUGCUCCCCCUUUUGUACUUUGUUUCAUCAGCAGCAGGGCAAAUAAGUUUCUGCCUCUUUGUCCAUCUUGUAGUGCUCCCCGUCUUGAUGUUAUAAGUCACAGUUUUUGGUGAGGGCUUCCAGGUUCUCUUUGUAUAGAAGUCAGACCCAAACAUUCUUUGCAGCUGGUUGUGACAGGCCCACCCAGUAAAGUUCAUGCCUCCACAAUGCACAGCAAACGUUUUCCUUAAAUAUGUUGAUUGAGUUGAAAGGACAGAACUUUCUCUUUUACAAAUCAAAAUCAACGAAGGUUUCUAAUAUUUAGUCAACUUUAUUGACUCAAAGGUAAAUCUAGACUAUUUCCUAUGCACAAUUUUUCUGACUCGUCAAAUCGGUUCUACACAGGUUUUAAACUUUAGGCACAAUCUAUCCCAAAUGCAAGAUCCCUCCUUUCAUUUUUUAUUUAUCUAUUUUAUUUUGGGAAAAUAACUACCAGUUUUUAACUCAAAACAGCCUAGUACAGUUUCUAGCCAGGUUACAGGAAAUAAUACUUAGUUUAUCUGUUUUUUCAUUAUUCAGCGUCCCAAAAUCCAGCCAUUAACGUUAAUGGUUCUUAAAGUUGAGGCAAGACAAUUAUUGGAUUUUGUUUUAUAGCAAGAUUUAACAAAUAUUUUAUUUCCUUACUGAUUAUUUGUUAAUUUUAUGGUUUUCAUAAAGAUGAUCCUGAGAGGUUCAGAGCUGCUUUUCGCAGCACCCUGUGCUAUUUUUAGACUGCGGAACUCCUGUGUGUAAAAGUGGGUGGAGUCAGGUCCCCAGGCUGAAACUCCAGUCAUUCUCACUAGAUCUGUCCGAGAGGAAGGAUCUCCUGAAUACCCUAACCAGAAGCCUUAAGUCUCUCGAACUAAAUAACCGUCUAGUAAAAACAUGGACCGCACCCUGUUUCUCAAGCAGCUGCUCCCUCUAUUAAAAACUGAGUCAUUCAGAAGAUCCAGCGAAAGCAGCUCAUGCAAGAAGACACGCAUCCACUCAUUCACAUGGCACAGACGACAUUCUUUGUUUGUCACAGUCUUUUUUUUUUUAAAGUAA